rnacentral:rRNA from 1 species
GGUUAAGUGACUAAGCGUACACGGUGGAUGCCUAGGCAGUCAGAGGCGAUGAAGGGCGUGCUAAUCUGCGAAAAGCGUCGGUAAGGUGAUAUGAACCGUUAUAACCGGCGAUACCCGAAUGGGGAAACCCAGUGUGUUUCGACACACUAUCAUGUCAUGAAUACAUAGUGGCAUGAGGCGAACCGGGGGAACUGAAACAUCUAAGUACCCCGAGGAAAAGAAAUCAACCGAGAUUCCCCCAGUAGCGGCGAGCGAACGGGGAGGAGCCCAGAACCUGAAUCGGCUUGUGUGUUAGUGGAAGCGUCUGGAAAGUCGCGCAGCAAAGGGUGAUAGCCCCGUACACUAAAAUGCACAGGUCGUGAGUUCGAUGAGUAGGGCGGGACACGUGACAUCCUGUCUGAAUAUGGGGGGACCAUCCUCCAAGGCUAAAUACUCCUGACUGACCGAUAGUGAACCAGUACCGUGAGGGAAAGGCGAAAAGAACCCCGGCGAGGGGAGUGAAAUAGAACCUGAAACCGUGUACGUACAAGCAGUGGGAGCACCUUCGUGGUGUGACUGCGUACCUUUUGUAUAAUGGGUCAGCGACUUAUAUUUUGUAGCAAGGUUAACCGUAUAGGGGAGCCGUAGGGAAACCGAGUCUUAACUGGGCGACUAGUUGCAAGGUAUAGACCCGAAACCCGGUGAUCUAGCCAUGGGCAGGUUGAAGGUUGGGUAACACUAACUGGAGGACCGAACCGACUAAUGUUGAAAAAUUAGCGGAUGACUUGUGGCUGGGGGUGAAAGGCCAAUCAAACCGGGAGAUAGCUGGUUCUCCCCGAAAGCUAUUUAGGUAGCGCCUCGUGAACUCAUCUUCGGGGGUAGAGCACUGUUUCGGCUAGGGGGCCAUCCCGGCUUACCAAACCGAUGCAAACUCCGAAUACCGAAGAAUGUUAUCACGGGAGACACACGGCGGGUGCUAACGUCCGUCGUGAAGAGGGAAACAACCCAGACCGCCAGCUAAGGUCCCAAAGUCAUGGUUAAGUGGGAAACGAUGUGGGAAGGCAUAGACAGCCAGGAUGUUGGCUUAGAAGCAGCCAUCAUUUAAAGAAAGCGUAAUAGCUCACUGGUCGAGUCGGCCUGCGCGGAAGAUGUAACGGGGCUAAACCAUGCACCGAAGCUGCGGCAGCGACGCUUAGGCGUUGUUGGGUAGGGGAGCGUUCUGUAAGCCGUUGAAGGUGGCCUGUGAGGGUUGCUGGAGGUAUCAGAAGUGCGAAUGCUGACAUAAGUAACGAUAAAGCGGGUGAAAAGCCCGCUCGCCGGAAGACCAAGGGUUCCUGUCCAACGUUAAUCGGGGCAGGGUGAGUCGACCCCUAAGGCGAGGCUGAAAAGCGUAGUCGAUGGGAAACAGGUUAAUAUUCCUGUACUUGGUGUUACUGCGAAGGGGGGACGGAGAAGGCUAGGCUGGCCGGGCGACGGUUGUCCCGGUUUAAGCGUGUAGGGGGUGUGACCUGGUAAAUCCGGUUGCAUAUCAACCCUGAGGCGUGAUGACGAUGCACUACGGUGCAGAAGUAGUUGAUGCCCUGCUUCCAGGAAAAUCCUCUAAGCUCCAGGUAACAUUAAAUCGUACCCCAAACCGACACAGGUGGUCAGGUAGAGAAUACCAAGGCGCUUGAGAGAACUCGGGUGAAGGAACUAGGCAAAAUGGUGCCGUAACUUCGGGAGAAGGCACGCUGGCAUGUAGGUGAAGUCCCUUGCGGAUGGAGCUGAAGCCAGUCGAAGAUACCAGCUGGCUGCAACUGUUUAAUAAAAACACAGCACUGUGCAAACACGAAAGUGGACGUAUACGGUGUGACGCCUGCCCGGUGCUGGAAGGUUAAUUGAUGGGGUCAGCCGCAAGGCGAAGCUCUUGAUCGAAGCCCCAGUAAACGGCGGCCGUAACUAUAACGGUCCUAAGGUAGCGAAAUUCCUUGUCGGGUAAGUUCCGACCUGCACGAAUGGCGUAAUGAUGGCCAGGCUGUCUCCACCCGAGACUCAGUGAAAUUGAACUCGCUGUGAAGAUGCAGUGUACCCGCGGCAAGACGGAAAGACCCCGUGAACCUUUACUAUAGCUUGACACUGAACAUUGAGCCUUGAUGUGUAGGAUAGGUGGGAGGCUUUGAAGCGUGGACGCCAGUCUGCGUGGAGCCAUCCUUGAAAUACCACCCUUUAAUGUUUGAUGUUCUAACUCGGCCCCAUAAUCUGGGGUGAGGACAGUGUCUGGUGGGUAGUUUGACUGGGGCGGUCUCCUCCCAAAGAGUAACGGAGGAGCACGAAGGUUAGCUAAUCACGGUCGGACAUCGUGAGGUUAGUGCAAAGGCAUAAGCUAGCUUGACUGCGAGAGUGACGGCUCGAGCAGGUACGAAAGUAGGUCUUAGUGAUCCGGUGGUUCUGAAUGGAAGGGCCAUCGCUCAACGGAUAAAAGGUACUCCGGGGAUAACAGGCUGAUACCGCCCAAGAGUUCAUAUCGACGGCGGUGUUUGGCACCUCGAUGUCGGCUCAUCACAUCCUGGGGCUGAAGUAGGUCCCAAGGGUAUGGCUGUUCGCCAUUUAAAGUGGUACGCGAGCUGGGUUUAGAACGUCGUGAGACAGUUCGGUCCCUAUCUGCCGUGGGCGUUGGAAGAUUGAGAGGGGUUGCUCCUAGUACGAGAGGACCGGAGUGAACGCACCACUGGUGUUCGGGUUGUCAUGCCAAUGGCAUUGCCCGGUAGCUAAGUGCGGAAAAGAUAAGCGCUGAAAGCAUCUAAGCGCGAAACUUGCCUCAAGAUGAGUCUUCCCUGGGCCUUCAAGGCCCCUGAAGGAACGUUUAAGACUAAGACGUUGAUAGGCUGGGUGUGUAAGUGCAGCGAUGCAUUGAGCUAACCAGUACUAAUGAUCCGUGAGGCUUAACCUU